GGCCGCCUGGCGAAAUGGCAUCGCGUCUGACUACGACUAGGUGAUCAGGAGAUUGCAGGUUCGACCCCUGCGGUGGUCA
rnacentral:tRNA from 1 species